CCAGUCCUUGGAGGCAUUGCAGGUAUGGCUGCAGGGUCAGUAGGUGGCAGAGAGGAGAAAGGCUAUGCCUGUACUCAACAUUCUGACCUUCAAACAUCUAAAUGAUUUGCAGCCAAAUAUC
ensembl:snoRNA LOC120098399 small nucleolar RNA SNORA17